rnacentral:lncRNA from 10 species
CUGGAUAUACAACAGUGAACAAAACAGAUCAAAAUCCCUGCACACAGAGAGCUUUAUUAGACUAGGGAGAGGCAGAUAACAGACAAAAUAUUUAAAUAAAAUGCACAGUAUGGUAGGAUACCAUUAAAUGCUGUGGGGAGAAAAAUCAGAAAUGAGGAUAAACAGUGCCAAGGUCAGUGGUCUCAGUUUUAAGUAAGGUAGCUGAAGGAGGUCUCUUCAGAAGGGGUUAGAGAAUAGGCGUGAGGCUCUUUGGAGGAAGACACUCCAGAGAGAGGGAGCAGAAUGGACUGUUUAUGAUUGUCUAAGGAACCAUGCGGUGACCAGUUUGGCUGAAGAAAGGGAAUUAGGAGGAGAGUGAUAGAUGAAGUCAAGGAGUUAAUGAGGGACCAGACCCAGUAGGACCUUGUAAACACCUUGUCGCCUUCUGAAUGACAUGGGAGCCCCUGAAGAAUUAGAGCAGAGGCAUGAUAUGAUCUGACUUGUAAUGACAUACGUUAAUUUUUCAGUUGAGAACUGGCUGUGUGUUAGGGAUGCAGAAGAGUCAAAGGAAAUCAAGAAGCUUCCAGGUAGAAUCAACAAGCUGUGAUGAAGGAUUCCAUGUUGGAUGUCAGAGGAAAAAAAGAGGAAGUGAUGACCCCAGAGCUUUUGGUUUGAGCAAAUAGAAGAAUGGAGU